rnacentral:rRNA from 1 species
UACGUAGGGUGCAAGCGUUAAUCGGAAUUACUGGGCGUAAAGCGUGCGCAGGCGGUUCGUUGUGUCCGUCGUGAAAGCCCCGGGCUUAACCUGGGAACUGCGAUGGAAACUAGCGAGCUGGAGUGUGGCAGGAGGGGGGUGGAAUUCCGCGUGUAGCAGUGAAAUGCGUAGAGAUGCGGAGGAACACCGAUGGCGAAGGCAGCCCCCUGGGCUAACACUGACGCUCAGGCACGAAAGCGUGGGGAGCAAACAGG